rnacentral:rRNA from 1 species
UACGUAGGAGGCAAGCGUUGUCCGGAGUUACUGGGCGUAAAGCGUGUGCAGGCGGCGUGUCGCGUCUGCGGUGAAAUCUCCCGGCUUAACUGGGAGGGGGCCGUGGAAACGGGCAGGCUUGAGGGCUGGAGAGGGAAGUAGAACUCCCGGUGGACCAGUGAAAUGGGUAGAGAUCGGGAAGAAUACCCGAGGUGAAGACGGCUUCCUGGCCAGUACCUGACGCUCAGACACGAAAGCGUGGGGAGCAAACAGG